rnacentral:rRNA from 1 species
AAACUUAAAGGAAUUGACGGAAAGGCACCACCAGGCGUGGAGCUUGCGGCUCAAUUUGACUCAACACGGGAAAUCUCACCAGGCCCGGACACUGGAAGGAUUGACAGAUUGAGAGCUCUUUCUCGAUUCGGUGGGUGGUGGUGCAUGGCCGUUCUUAGUUGGUGGAGUGAUUUGUCUGGUUAAUUCCGAUAACGAACGAGACUCUGUCCUGCUAAAUAGUUGGGUCGUCCUUCGUGCGAUCCAAGUUCUUCUUAGAGGGACUGGCUGCGUCUAGCAGCACGAGAUUGAGCAAUAACAGGUCUGUGAUGCCCUUAG